UACGUAGGGUCCGAGCGUUGUCCGGAAUUAUUGGGCGUAAAGAGCUCGUAGGCGGUUUGUCGCGUCUGCUGUGAAAUCCCGAGGCUCAACCUCGGGCCUGCAGUGGGUACGGGCAGACUGGAGUGCGGUAGGGGAGAAUGGAAUUCCUGGUGUAGCGGUGGAAUGCGCAGAUAUCAGGAGGAACACCGAUGGCGAAGGCAGUUCUCUGGGCCAUAACUGACGCUGAGGAGCGAAAGCGUGGGGAGCGAACAGG
rnacentral:rRNA from 1 species